CUGUGGGCGGCGAGUGGCGGACGGGUGAGGAAUACAUCGGAAUCUACCCUGUCGUGGGGGAUAACGUACGGAAACUUACGCUAAUACCGCAUACGACCCACGGGUGAAAGCGGCGGACCGCAAGGCGUCGCGCGACUGGAUGAGCCGAUGUCCGAUUAGCUAGUUGGCGGGGUAAGAGCCCACCAAGGCGACGAUCGGUAGCUGGUCUGAGAGGAUGAUCAGCCACACUGGAACUGAGACACGGUCCAGACUCCUACGGGAGGCAGCAGUGGGGAAUAUUGGACAAUGGGCGCAAGCCUGAUCCAGCCAUGCCGCGUGUGUGAAGAAGGCCUUCGGGUUGUAAAGCACUUUUGUUGGGGAAGAAAAGACACCGGUUAAUACCCGGGGUUUCUGACGGUACCCAAAGAAUAAGCACCGGCUAACUUCGUGCCAGCAGCCGUGGUAAUACGAAGGGUGCAAGCGUUACUCGGAAUUACUGGGCGUAAAGCGUGCGUAGGUGGUGAGUUAAGUCUGUCGUGAAAGCCCCGGGCUCAACCUGGGAAUGGCGAUGGAUACUGGCUCGCUAGCAGUUGC
rnacentral:rRNA from 1 species